AUUGAACGCUGGCGGCAUGCUUUACACAUGCAAGUCGAACGGCAGCGGGGGCUUCGGCCUGCCGGCGAGUGGCGAACGGGUGAGUAAUGCAUCGGAACGUGCCCAGUCAUGGGGGAUAACUACGCGAAAGCGUAGCUAAUACCGCAUACGCCCUGAGGGGGAAAGCGGGGGAGUCGCAAGACCUCGCGUGAUUGGAGCGGCCGAUGUCGGAUUAGCUAGUUGGUGGGGUAAAGGCCUACCAAGGCGACGAUCCGUAGCGGGUCUGAGAGGAUGAUCCGCCACACUGGGACUGAGACACGGCCCAGACUCCUACGGGAGGGCAGCAGUGGGGGAAUUUUGGACAAUGGGGGCAACCCUGAUCCAGCCAUGCCGCGUGAGUGAAGAAGGCCU
rnacentral:rRNA from 1 species